GAGGGGGAAAGCAAGGAGCUGGGGGAAGCAGACUGCAGGGAGACAGCGCCUGGAACCCCCUCCCCAGGGACCUGGCCCUGGGCCCCCAGCCCCAAAAGGGGCCCUGCCCUCCCCGGGGUCGCGCUCUCUUCCCCCCCCCCGCCCUGCCCCCGCCCUUCAGCUUUGUGUCCCCAGGAGGGUGGGCUGCAAGAUUUCCAGCCAAGCCUUGGCUGCCUGCUCAGUUUUUCCAAACCCUCCAGUCGGAGAAGGCGGGAGCCUUGUCAGGAUAAGAGUCCCUCCCCCCUCUGCCCCUGCCGGCCCCCUGGUCCAGCUUGGAGUUUCCUGUCCUCGCAGCUUUCCAAACUCCUUUCCCUUUCCGACCCUGGCCCCAGCGCCCCCUAGCCCCACCUCUGUUGGUUCCCAAAUUCCAAGUUCAGGUUGGAGGGGCCAGGUGGACUCCACAAUCCUAGCGAGGCGCUGGUAAAGCCUCACUCUGCCGGCCGACCCAGAGACCUGCGGGGCGCCGGCCUGACUCCCGGCCUGGGCCCGCCCUGUCCCAGGACUCGGCUUCUGGCCACCAGGGAAGGUGGCUCUUGGGGUCUCCCGCUCCCGGAAGGAGGCGGUGCCGGGGACGUCGGCACAGCUGGGCGGUAAGAUAGAAACUCAUAUUUGCCCAGUUGGAGCUCGGGUUCCAUAUGAAGCUGAAGCUGCUCUUGAACUGAUCCUCCGGCCUUCCCUUCCUGUCAUGAUGAGCCCUUCAUUCAGGGCUUAUACCCCUGCCCCUCAUCUGGACCUCCCCGAUCUUGCCCAGUGCCCAGCUCCUGGGCCAUCCACCCAGAAACAUUCACUGAAGCCCUCCUGUGAACCUGGCCAGCACCUGAGACAGUCAUGCAAGGAACACAGAGACUGGAAGUUAUGAUCUGAGUCCUCAGGAAUCUCAUGCCAGCCAGAUGUACAGACAGGAGGAACGACACAUAUGGGAGUCAGUACUCUGGUGGGUGGCACUGAUGUGACAGGUGAUGGGGAACAGAAGACACAGGUUGCUACUGUUCUUUGUGAAGCAGUCAGCGCUCGCUCGGCACUGGUUGAUUUCAUUGGAGGUGAGGGGGCAGUGAGAUAGAAGGAAAAUGGCCUGGGAGAAGAAGCCUUGAGUUCUAGUCCCAGGUUCACAAUUCUAGUUGUGUAACUUGGUAAUUCCUUAAGUCACACAAGCUUCACUUUUCUCAUUUACCCCUUCCUUGUAAAUUCGUGGUGGUAACCAUUGAGAUAAUAUAGGCAAUGCUUUAAAGAA
rnacentral:lncRNA from 1 species